AGUGGCGGACGGGUGAGUAACGCGUGAGAAUCUGCCUUCAGGAGGGGGACAACAGUUGGAAACGGCUGCUAAUACCCCGUAAGUCUACGGAUAAAACGGUUAAUUCCGCCUGAAGAUGAGCUCGCGUCGGAUUAGCUAGUUGGUGGGGUAAAGGCUUACCAAGGCGACGAUCCGUAGUUGGUCUGAGAGGAUGAUCAGCCACACUGGGACUGAGACACGGCCCAGACUCCUACGGGAGGCAGCAGUGGGGAAUUUUCCGCAAUGGGCGAAAGCCUGACGGAGCAACGCCGCGUUCGGGAGGACGGCCUGUGGGUUGUAAACCGCUUUUCUCAGGGAAGAAGAUCUUACGGUACCUGAGGAAUCAGCAUCGGCUAACUCCGUGCCAGCAGCCGCGGUAAUACGGAGGAUGCAAGCGUUAUCCGGAUUUAUUGGGCGUAAAGCGUCCGCAGGCGGCUAAUCAAGUCUGCUGUUAAAGGCCGAGGCUUAACUUCGGUUGAGCAGUGGAAACUGAUUAGCUAGAGUGCGAUAGGGGUAGAGGGAAUUCCCUGUGUAGCGGUGAAAUGCGUAGAUAUUGGGAAGAACACCAGUGGCGAAGGCGCUCUACUGGGUCGCAACUGACGCUGAGGGACGAAAGCUAGGGGAGCGAAAGGGAUUAGAUACCCC
rnacentral:rRNA from 1 species